rnacentral:rRNA from 1 species
AGAGUUUGAUCCUGGCUCAGGACGAACGCUGGCGGCGUGCUUAACACAUGCAAGUCGAGCGAUGAAGUUCCUUCGGGAAUGAAUUAGCGGCGGACGGGUGAGUAACACGUGGGUAACCUGCCUCAUAGAGGGGAAUAGCCUUUCGAAAGGAAGAUUAAUACCGCAUAAGAUUGUAGCUUCGCAUGAAGCAGCAACUAAAGGAGUAAUCCGCUAUGAGAUGGACCCGCGUCGCAUUAGCUAGUUGGUGAGGUAACGGCUCACCAAGGCGACGAUGCGUAGCCGACCUGAGAGGGUGAUCGGCCACAUUGGGACUGAGACACGGCCCAGACUCCUACGGGAGGCAGCAGUGGGGAAUAUUGCACAAUGGGGGAAACCCUGAUGCAGCAACGCCGCGUGAGUGAUGACGGUCUUCGGAUUGUAAAACUCUGUCUUCAGGGACGAUAAUGACGGUACCUGAGGAGGAAGCCACGGCUAACUACGUGCCAGCAGCCGCGGUAAUACGUAGGUGGCAAGCGUUGUCCGGAUUUACUGGGCGUAAAGGGAGCGUAGGUGGACAUUUAAGUGGGAUGUGAAAUACUCGGGCUUAACCUGAGUGCUGCAUUC